AGGUCACUGCUAUUGGGAUUCGGCUAAGCCAUGCGAGUCGUGAGGGUUCGGCCCUCGGCAGACGGCUCAGUAACACGUGGAUAAUCUACCCUUAGGUGGAGGAUACCCUCGGGAAACUGAGAAUAAUACUCCAUAGAUCUAGACUGCUGGAAUGCUUUUAGAUCGAAAGAUUUAUCGCCUAAGGAUGAGUCUGCGGACUAUCAGGUUGUAGUCAGGGUAAUGACCUGACUAGCCUACGACGGAUACGGGUAGUGAGAGCUUUAGCCCGGAGAUGAUAUCUGAGACACGAUAUCAGGCCCUACGGGGCGCAGCAGGCGCGAAAACUUCGCACUGUGCGAAAGCACGACGAGGGAAUCCCAAGUGCUGGCUCGUAAGAGUCAGCUGUUUCUCUGUCUAAAAAACAGGGAGAGUAAGGGCUGGGUAAGACGGGUGCCAGCCGCCGCGGUAAUACCUGCAGCCCAAGUGGUGGCCGCUAUUAUUGGGCCUAAAACGUCCGUAGCCGGUUCUAUAAAUGCCUGGGUAAAUCGUACGGCUUAACCGUACGAAUUCCGGGUAGACUGUUCAACUUGGGACCGGGAGAGGCUAGAGGUACUCCUGGGGUAGAGGUGAAAUUCUGUAAUCCUAGGGGGACCACCAGUGGCGAAGGCGUCUAGCUAGAACGGGUCUGACGGUGAGGGACGAAGCCCUGGGGAGCAAACGGGAUUAGAUACCCCGGUAGUCCAGGGUGUAAACGCUGCUCGCUUGAUGUUAGUCGGGCUUCGAGCCCAACUAGUGUCGGAGAGAAGUUGUUAAGCGAGCUGCCUGGGGAGUACGGUCGCAAGACUGAAACUUAAAGGAAU
rnacentral:rRNA from 1 species